ensembl:lncRNA
AGGGAGCCGAGCAGAAGGUAGCAGAGGUGGGUGGGGGAGGAGGAGGCCUUGUCCGGAAAGAGGAGCAGCCCCUAAUAUUGAGCUGGGAGCAGGGGGGCACAGGGCCACCAACCUGUUCUACGGUCAUGGACAAAUACAGACCAAAGAGGCCCACCACUUUGGCUCUGUUCCCACAACAGCCACAAGCCGGCUCCCAGGACACUAUAAACAACAAUUCUCUUGGUAAAAAGGACAGUUGGAAAGACUCUCACUCAUCCUCGCCACAUAUCACAGGGGAUCAAACACCACCGGGUGCCCAGUCCAAAGCCGAGGCCAAGGUCCGACCCAGCACCCGUCGCCCGGCCCCC